rnacentral:tRNA from 4 species
GCGGGUAUAACUCAGUGGUAGAGUGCGAGCUUCCCAAGCUCGUGGUCGCGGGUUCGAAUCCCGUUGCCCGCUCCA